rnacentral:rRNA from 1 species
UACAGAGGUGGCAAGCGUUGUUCGGAAUUACUGGGCGUAAAGCGUGCGCAGGCGGUUGUGUAAGACAGAUGUGAAAUCCCCGGGCUCAACCUGGGAACUGCAUUUGUGACUGCACAGCUGGAGUGCGGCAGAGGGGGAUGGAAUUCCGCGUGUAGCAGUGAAAUGCGUAGAUAUGCGGAGGAACACCGAUGGCGAAGGCAAUCCCCUGGGCCUGCACUGACGCUCAUGCACGAAAGCGUGGGGAGCAAACAGG